ACGAACGCUGGCGGCAUGCCUAACCCAUGCAAGUCGAACGCAGCCUUCGGGCUUAGUGGCGCACGGGUGCGUCACGCGUGGGAAUCUGCCCCUUGCUUCGGAAUAACAGUUAGAAAUGACUGCUAAUACCGGAUGAAGUCUUCGGACCAAAGAUUUAUCGGCAAGGGAUGAGCCCGCGUAGGAUUAGGUAGUUGGUGGGGUAAAGGCCUACCAAGCCGACGAUCCUUAGCUGGUCUGAGAGGAUGAUCAGCCACACUGGGACUGAGACACGGCCCAGACUCCUACGGGAGGCAGCAGUGGGGAAUAUUGGACAAUGGACGCAAGUCUGAUCCAGCAAUGCCGCGUGAGUGAUGAAGGCCUUAGGGUUGUAAAGCUCUUUUACCAGGGAUGAUAAUGACAGUACCUGGAGAAUAAGCUCCGGCUAACUCCGUG
rnacentral:rRNA from 1 species